GCUGCAGUUCUAGGUCACAUGUUCUCAGAGGGCCUCGUUGGGUGGAGACAGAAAGAGGAGCUGCAGCUCAGACUGGAAUUCAGCUGAACUGGAGCCAGCAGGGUCAUAUGCUGACUUCUAGAUUACAGAUUGAGAUUAGACUAAAGACUGAUAAACUGCUGGUUCCUGAGACCACAGCAUCCUCUGAUGUUUGGUCCAAGGGUCAGAGCUCACCAGUGUGUGAACGUAUGAAUAAAUGGUAAAGGGUGACAGGAAUGAUGGUGUUUUAUUUGUGCUUUAACCCUUUAACGGGGGGCGGGCCACAGCAGCACAUCUCUGCUCUGAACAGGAACUAAACCAUAUGGAGGCGUUCCAUUUUCACACCCUUGUGGAGUUUUCCAUUACUGUCCUGACUUUUACCUCGCAUUAAAACAUGUUCUUAAACUCCUCCCCCUUUAACUCUUUGGUUUUUAACCCAACUUUAUUUACCAAAACUCCCAAAACAUUAAAGUAAAAUGAACCCUUCGUUAAAAUGCUGAAAGGAAGACAUGUUAGAAAUAAUCAACAGAUUAAAACAAUAAGGUAAUCCAGGUUUAAGUUAAACAUUCUGAGGUUUGAAUAAAAACUUUCAACAUUUUGAAUGAAGUAUUUGUUUUUUCUAGUUGAGGCCAAUAAAGGGUUAAUCCUCCUGCUUCUCUCUGUCCUCCCACUCCUCCUGCUGCUGAAGCCACGCCCCUUUACACCUCUUGAGGAGCUGGGGGGGUCAGUCUGUCACACACACACACUGUCACACACAUACACAGACACACACACUCCUGGAGUCCAGCACGCUCGGGUGUGAUGACCCAGUCAGAGCUAGCUCCAGGAGGACCUCCGCCUGCUUCUCUGGACGUUAGAACAAGUCAAACACCAGGAGAAAUCUCAGGAAGCUUCUGUCCUACAAACUUGUUUAGUUUUGUUAAUGUUUAAUGAUUAUUUUAACAAGAUGAGCUUGAAGAGGAAAACGUCUGGGCUGGUCAUCAGCUGGCAGAGGUCCUUCUCCAUCCUGGCUCCAUGGAGGAGAGGAAGAGGAGGCAGGGAUGCAGUCCUGGAAAGUGAAGUGGUCCUGACCAAAAUGAAGAUCUUCAACAACUUCUGUGAAAAUGACUCCAUCUCCACAGGGUCAGCUUCUGAACAUGACAUGACAGAGUCCACCAGAACAUCUGAGGCAAAUCCUCACGUCCAAGAAAAGCCUCAGACCGAGUCCGGAUCAGACUACCUGUCGGUCAUCUUUUCAUCCUCUCAGCUUCCGAGGUUGUUCAAGUUUGAAUCUGAGGACUCUGGAGUUGAACUUCCCAGUGGAGCUAAUUCUCCAUCCACCCCGACGGGCUCGGAGCAGAGCUUUGUGGUCCACAGCCGAGAGUCCUCUUGUGAUUCCUGUAACAUGAACCCUGAACCUUCUUGUUCUCCUGAUAAACUGGUUAUAAACACGCAGAACUCCUCUGAUGAAGGUUCAAACAACUUAGAAAACGACCCAAAUGUGACGGAGAAGACUCGGAACGAGUUCAGCGGCAACCUGGACCAGAGCGGAGCUUCAGGUGAUGGAGAAAAAAAGGGACAAUCUGAGGAGACUACAUCUCCGACUGCAAGGAGUCGCUCUGAGAACGAGAAGUUUCUGGAGGAAUUCUCAACGAGGAUGAAUGAAGAUGACAAGUCGGAGUCUGUGAGGCGGAGCGCCACCAGAGACAGUCUGGAGGACUACAUGGAGGAAUGCUGCAGGAUCAGUCAGGCAGUGCAGCAGACUUCCAGUCCUCUGGGCUCCGGUUUGGGAUACCUGGAGCACAUUUGCCAGCUUCUGGAGAAAAUUGGCCACCUGCAGGAGUUGAACCUGCAACUGCAAAGGCAGGUCUGUGGCCUGCAGAAGGACGGCAGGAUGACGAAGACUAAAGAGGUUUGGGAUUUGUCUUUAAGCACGAACGUUUGACUUGGCAACUGCUUGUGAAGGACUGAGCUGACAUUUUGCUGCUUGUUCAGCUCAGAUCUGAGAGAUUUGGAUCCAUCUUCAUUUAUAUAAUUUAUAUAUGAACUUCAAACAUAACUAAAUAUCUGAAUAAAACGAAGAAACUGAUAUAAAACAUGGAAAAUAGACGACAUGACCACCCUAAAGGGGCCGCCUGUCUGGACCUAACCUCCAUCACAUCUAGCAUCCCAGGUUUUCCCAUGGGUUUGCUGUGUGUGUGUGUGUGUGUGUGUGUGUGUGUGUGUGUGUGUGUGUGUGUGUGUGUGUGUGUGUGUGUGUGUGUGUGUGUGUGUGUGUGCGGAGGGGGGGGGGGGUGUUGGGGAUAGAUCUAAAUUUAGAGAUUAACUCUUAAUUUUUGCACCACCUAAUAGAAACUGACUUAGCUUUAUUGGGAAGUUAAAGUAAGUUUAAAACAAACAGUUUUAUUUACUCAGACAUGUUUAUGAAGGAACAUUCAGUCGUCCUGAGAUCAAAACUAAACUAAACAUUUUAUUCAUAACCAUAAUAUUUUUGUGGCUCCUUCCUGCAGGACUUUUUCCAGCAGCACUGCAGCUGCGGCGCCGCCACCUUAGCCUUCCAGGUCCGGCUGUCUAGAGGAGACUUGGCCCAAAGUGGACACGUCUCUGAUCUGUCCACCAUCCCAGAAGUCAGCCGGCACCCGCUGUCGUCGACAGGUAAACGUCACCUGAAACCUUUGGUCAGGGGCACAGCUACCUAAUUUAUGAGGGGUAUGCGACAACAUAAUUGCCCCCCCCCCCCCCCCCACACACACACACACACAUGCACACACACACGACACCAUCCCAUUGCCCGUAAGGUCUUUCACCAGCCCUCUCCUCUGCACUUCUCUGUUUGUACAAAAGACUCUGCAAGUUAUUUAGGUUAGCAGUAGUUGAAGUUCGUUAAGUUACCAGAGAUUGGGGCUGUGAUGGCGUAAUUCCGUAAACGAGUCCCGCACAGUGGUGUAACGUUGCCGACACGAUGUUGAGAGAUUAUCACACGGCACGGACAGGCAUUACCGCAUGGAGUACCGUUGGAUGUGUGGAUAUGUUUAUUCCCUUCGAGUUGUGUGUUGAUGUAAGUCAAUAUGUUUCGGUGAUAAUGUUACAGAGAGAAGUACCUUGCUAUCAUCUGCUGCUAGCUGCCGGUCGCAGAAUUGCACUUAGUGAGAAAUGCUGUGUUACACCUUUGUGGGCGUAGAUCUCAACCUCUGAACAUCAUAGAGAGGUCUGGUCUGUUUUGUUAGACUCUAAAUAAUAGUCUGUAUCCUCCACAAAAGGAAUGGAGUCCAAAAAUGUAUGCUUUUUAAUUGGCACCUAGAUUUAUGUGGUCGUGCAGCCAAAUUUCACAUUAUUCUGAGUCCAAAUCAGGGCCAGAAUGUCCAAUCACUCUGAAAUUUUACAGGAAAGUAGGGGCUAAAAAGAUGGGCUACUUUGGGCUAUUUCAAUUCAAUUCAAUUCAAAAAUACUUUAUUAAUCCCAGAGGGAAAUUGAUUCAAUUAAUUGAUUUUUAAGUGGCCAAAAAAAGAACAAAAAUGGCCCCAAAUGACUUUGGGCUGCAUGAUGACACAGAUGUUAGCACUGUUGCCUCGCAGCACGAAGGUGGCAGGUUCGAAACUCGGCUGCAGCCUUUUUAUUUUUGAAUUGAAUUGAAUUCUGUGUGGAGUUGCGUGUUCUCCCCAUGCAUGCGUGGGUUUCCUCCGGGGACUUCGGUUUCCCCACAGAUCACAUCAUGCCCUAUAGGUUAUAAAUUGUAAGUUGCUUUGGAUAAAAGCAUCUGCCAAAUAAAUAAAAACAUUAAGUAGCCCAAAAUGACUUUGGGCUACUUUGGCCAUAUCUCAGCCCCCGAGCAACGCAGAGAGGUUGGGUCACUUCUGGCAUACUCUACACGACGAGUUAUUAAGGCCAAUUUUCAGCCUUAUCGGACCUUGCUACGGUGGUCAAAUCUAUCCCCAAAGGUCGCAGAAUUGCACUUAGUGAUAUAUGCUGUGUUACACAUUUGGGGACCUAUGUCUCAGGCCAUGAAUAAGAUUGAGAAGUCAGGUCUGUUUUAACGCGUUGACUUUCAUUUACAUUCUUUUGUUUUUUGAUUGGUGAUCGGCAAAACAGCUUGUUUCCCUUUUUUUGUUUUUUUAAUUUCCAAAGGAAAAUCGGAUGGCCGUCAUGUACACGGACCACACGGACCAUAAUGGUCUGCUAUUUUCUCAAAAGGAAUGGAGUGAAAAGAAUGAUUAGUUUUUAAAUGACAGCCCAAAUUAAAUGUUCAGAUGCACGAUUUUACUAUUAUUCUGAGUCCAAUUCAGGGCCAGAAGGUCUGAUCACUCUGAAGUUUUAUAAGAAAGUAGGGGCUAAUAGGAUGUAAAUGCGUACUAAAUUUCAGCCUGAUAGCACCUUACUAAGGUGGUCAAAAUAUUACCCAAAGGUCACCAGGAUAAGCGGUACUUUAAGGCCGAUUUAAUAUUACAACUUUCGGGGCCUAGAACUCAGGCCCUGAAAAAGAUAGCGAGGUCAGGUCUGUUUUGUUGAUACAGCCUGUAUCAUCAACAAGAGGAAUGGAGUCAAAAGAUGAACAGUUUUUAAAUGGGAGCCAGAUUUAUGUUGUAAGAUGCAUGAUUUUACAAUUAUUCUGGGUCCAUUUCAGGGCCAGAAGGAAAUCUGGCUGAAAUUUUUACUGUAAGUAGGGGCUAAUGGGAUGUAAAUACCCCAAGCCCCCACAAUGCGGCUCAAAAAUUGAGGCCAACCCGGAAGUACCAAAAAUUGCAGUUCCACCCUCAUCCACUGGGGGCUGGUGUCAGGAGCGAGCAAAUCCUCAUUGACUCCCAUGUUAAAAAUACCAAUUUCACAGCAGAAAUACACAUGUUUACAGCCUGGUACCAAAACAUGUUUUUUGUUUAAAUGAUCUAGUUUACACUCAUGACAACUCUGAGGGGGGUGAAUUUUUUUCUCACUCUUCUGUUUAAGUGUAUUAAAAGCCUAAAAUUCUGUAUAAUUAAUGAGCAUCAGACCUACGUGACCACAGAGCUAGCUCCGUGGAAAGGCCUCAGUAGAGCCUCAGUCUGGCUUGGAAACUGCUCCGGCAUUUUUAGUCUGUGUGUUUGUGUAUUCUUUUUUGGAUAUUUUUUGUGCAAUUGUUGGACAAAAUGACUUGCUGUGGCAUUAAUUGCACUAAUAGAGCGUCCAAGGAGUCUCCACCUUCAUUUUUUUCGGUAAGUAAAAUUAUAUUUAUGUACUUUAGGUCACUGCCGAGCUGAGCUUAGAUUUUAACAUGUACUGUUUAACCAUGAAAUUUAAAUGUAAUAGGGUAAAACCCAGUGCAUUUAACAUAAUGCUGCACUUUAGAAAAUGGGUUGAAAUAGAACAUGUUGGUGGAGCUGGGUUCCCACUAUCGGCUUGUGGAGCUCUCGGGAGACCUAUGUUUUCCACCCUUUCCCCUCCCCGCAACUCGGCGCAUCUCUGUCUGAUCGCGGCUUCUGUCUGCUGUGCGGCUGCCGGCUUGUGGAGCUCUCAGAGAUCUCUGAGUUCCACCCGGUUUUACCCAGUGGUCAGCCUGGCGUAUCUCUGACUCAGAAGCUCUGGUGUUGUGCACAUUUAACUCCGGUUGUAGCUAGGUUGCUACCUCUGUUAGCUUAGCUCCCACCUACGCGUUAGCUUUGGGUUAGCUUCAGGUUAGCUUUUAGCUAGUUGACCGGGUGUCGUCAGUUGAUCCCAGCCUUACAGCCACACCCUCAGCUCCACCUCUCUUCCCUUUUGUGGAAUUGUCCGGGCUUGACGGAACCUGUGACAUGGUCAAAAUGGCGGUGGUGGCCACCUCCCAUUCAUCUUCAAAAAUGUGUUAUUGGAGCUGUGGAAACCCAUUGUCCAAUAUUUAUGUGUCGAUGAAAUACCCUCACAAUUUCAGCCUGAUAGCACCUUUCUAAGGUUGUCUAAAUGAUACCCAAAGGUCCAUAUUAACAGUUGAACUUAGAAGCUGAUUUCAAACUUGACCUUUGGGGCCCUAUAUCUCAGGCUCUGAACAUCACAGAGAGGUCAGGUCUGUUUUGCUAGACUCUAAAUAAUAGCCUCUAUCAUUCACAAAAUGAAUGGCAUCAUUACCAUGUAUGGUUUUUAAAUGGCACCCAAGAUGAUGUGUUCAGACGCAGAUUUUUGACAUUAUUCUGAGUCCAGUUCAGAGACAGAAAGCAAAAUCAGGCUGAAACUUUAUAUGCAAGUAGGGACCAUUAAGAUAUAAAUGCAAACCAAGUUUCAUGAUGAUAGCACCUUGCUAACAGGGUCAAAUCAGUGUCCAAAGGUCACCAGGCCAUGUGUUACUUCAAGGCCGAUUUCAGAUUACAGCUUUGUGGGCCUUUAUCUCAGGCUCUGAACAUCAGAGAGAGGUCAGGUCUGUUUUGUUAUUUAACAUUCAACUCUCCUGAACUUCUUCACUCUAUCUAUCUAUCUAUCUAUCUAUCUAUCUAUCUAUCUAUCUAUCUAUCUAUCUAUCUAUCUAUCUAUCUAUCUAUCUAUCUAUCUAUCUAUCUAUCUAUC
rnacentral:lncRNA from 1 species